CAGACAGGACUUCUGGUCCCACUUUCCAGCCACUAACCUGUACUUCCUGUUUCAUCCCUGCUACCAGGAGCUGCACAGAGACUGCAUUUUCAACAAUAUCCACCUAUAAAUACUAAUGAAAGGUCUUUUUCAGGCAAAAUUUAAUUCCACCUGUUUCUACAUUGCAUCCCUGAGCGUAACUUUUUCAAAGUUUCAAAGGUAACUUACCUUUUUUUCUUUAUUCUGUAUUAUUAAGAAAAAUUGCAGAGAUAAUGUAACAAUUAUGAGACAUACAUAUACUUUUUUAUAUUUUGCUUUUAAUUUUGAAGGUUAUGAGGAGGCAUUUGCUUGUCACAGGGACAGAAGCCAGCAAUGUCCCUGUGAUAAUCAAAGACCUCAUUCUCAUUCCUGAGUAUAAAAUUACAAGACAUAAGUAAAUGUAUAAAGAAGGAUCUUAAUAUGUUACAGCAGAAAUAUAAAACAAUGCACUACUAAUUGAAGGAAAAUUAAAAUGGAUCCAAAUAUCAUAAGAACCACGUGGUUGCAUAAAGUUAAUACAAUUAUAAUUUAUGCCCUUAUUCUUAAUAUAUAUUUUUUCUAGGGAUUUGGACAACCUGUAGUUGUUAAUUCAUAAAAUAAUUAGCAUAUAUGUCUAAUUGUUUAAUUAAUAUAUAUUAUCUAAUUGUUUUUCUUCAACAGAAAACACAUAAUUUAUAUAUUACUUAUACAUGCAUUUCUCUGAUGCUCUGCCUUUUACAGGUAUUUGAGAUAAAUGUAUUUUACUACAAAUUUACUUUCAAGAGAUAAUACAACCAUCAAGUAAUC
rnacentral:lncRNA from 1 species